CUUAUGGAUGUGUAUAAGAAUCUAUAUCCACACAGGGCAACUAAUGAGCUCUUAAAGUGUGCAUGCGUGUGUGUUGAUUAGGCAUGGCUUAACACACAACAACAAGAACAACAACAACAGCAACAAAAACAACGGAAAUAAAGGUAGCGUCGGCGUGGCUCAAUCAUGCAGUAGCCUUUGUAGCUUUCAGUUUUUAAUGCGUCAACCACCGCAACUAUGCAGAUCGCACGCCUAAUAGGCAAAGUUCACAUCACAAAA